CACUCACACGGAUACUCGGCGCUAUGUGUGUGUGACUUGCGGAAAAAGGUUCUUGGAUAAGCAGACUUUGGAUGAGCAUGGUGUCACUCAUUUACAGAUCAAACCAUUCCAAUGCCACAUCUGCCUGAAGCAGCUGACUCGGCGCUCGCGUCUCCGAAUGCACCUACGAGCCCAUGAGGAGGAGCUUACUCCUACCUUGGUGCUGGUGUGUGCCGCGUGCCGACGUGCCUUUCGCGGACAGUCGGACGCUCAGGAACAUAUUGCGAAUUCCCCAGAGUGCAUGGAAGGGUUUGUCAAAGAGCUGAAG